GACUACUGGGGUAUCUAAUCCUGUUUGAUCCCCACGCUUUCGUGCCUCAGUGUCAAUAUAUGCGUAGCCAGCUGCCUUCGCAAUUGGUGUUCUAUGUCAUAUCUAAGCAUUUCACCGCUACAUGACAUAUUCCGCUGACCUCCACAAUAUUCAAGACUGAUAGUAUCAAUGGCAGUUUCCAAGUUAAGCUCGGAGAUUUCACCACUGACUUACCAACCCACCUACGCACCCUUUAAACCCAGUGAAUCCGGAUAACGCUUGCACCCUCCGUAUUACCGCGGCUGCUGGCACGGAGUUAGCCGGUGCUUAUUCAUAUGGUACCGUCAGGUGAUCUAGAAAGAUCUUUUUUCGUCCCAUAUAAAAGAAGUUUACAACCCAGAGGGCAUUCAUCCUUCACGCGGCAUGGCUGGUUCAGACUUUCGUCCAUUGACCAAUAUUCCUUACUGCAGCCCCCCGUAGG
rnacentral:rRNA from 1 species